AAAAACAUGUCCUUUUGUCUCGUAUAAAUAUAAGGUCUGACCUGCCCAAUGACUAAUUUGUUUAAUGGCCGCGGUAUUUUAACUGUGCUAAGGUAGCAUAAUCACUUGUCUUUUAAUUAAAGGCUAGAAUGAAUGGUUGGACGAGAUACAAGCUUUCUUUAAUUUAUCUAAUGAACUUAAUUUUUUAGUUAAAAAGCUAAAAUUUAUUUGAGGGACGAGAAGACCCUAUAGAUCUUUAUAUUUGUAAUUGUUGUUUAUUUUAGUGUAUUAAUUAAUAUAAUAAUUAUAUUUAUUUGGUUGGGGUGACUGUAGAAUUUAUAUUAACUUCUAUUUUUGUUUUAUCAUUAAUUAGUGUUAAAUUGAUCCAAUAUUAUUGAUUAUAAGAUUAAGUUACCUUAGGGAUAACAGCGUAAUUCUUUUGGAGAGUUCUUAUCGAUAAAGGAGUUUGCGACCUCGAUGUUGGAUUAAAAUAAGUUUUAGGGUGCAGUAGCUCAAAAACUAGGUCUGUUCGACCUUUAAUUUUUUACAUGAUCUGAGUU
rnacentral:rRNA from 1 species